CCGGUGGUUAGACCGGGGUCACUUGUAAUGAUCCCUCCGCAGGUUCACCUACGGA
rnacentral:rRNA from 1 species